rnacentral:rRNA from 1 species
ACUGCUCAGUAACACGUAAUCAACUUACCCUUCAGUGGAGAAUAACCUCGGGAAACUGAGGCUAAUACUUCAUAGUUGGAAAUUCCUGGAAUGGUUUUCCAUCGAAAGAUAUUUCUAAAUGCGGAAAAUUCGCUGAAGGAUAGGAUCGCUUUCGAUUACGGUUGUUGGUGAGGUAAUGGCUCACCAAGCCUAUGAUCGAUAAGGGCCGUGAGAGCGGUAGCCCUGAGAUGGAUACUGAGACAAUGAUCCAGGCCUUACGAGGCGCAGCAGGCGCGAAACCUUUACAAUGCACGAAAGUGUGAUAAGGUUACCCGGAGUGCUAAAAUUAAAUUUUAGCUGUUAUAGGUGUGUAAAUAACCCUAUGAGAAAGGAGAGGGCAAGGCUGGUGCCAGCCGCCGCGGUAAAACCAGCUCUUCAAGUGGUCGGGAAUAUUAUUGGGCUUAAAGUGUCCGUAGCCGGUUUGGUAAGUUCCUGGUUAAAUCUGGCAGCUUAACUGUCAGUCAGCUAGGAAUACUACUUUACUAGAGGGUGGGAAAGGUUUGAGGUACUCCAGGGGUAGCGGUGAAAUGCGAUAAUCCUUGGGGGACCACCAGUGGCGAAGGCGUCAGACUGGAACACGCCUGACGGUGAGGGACGAAAGCCAGGGGAGCGAACGGGAUUAGAUACCCCGGUAGUCCUGGCCGUAAACGAUGCGUGCUAGGUGUUGGUAGGGCUUUGAGCUGUAUCAGUGCCGUANGGAAACUGUUAAGCGCGCCGCCUGGGAAGUACGCUCGCAAGGGUGAAACUUAAAGGAAUUGGCGGGGAAGCACCACAAGGGGUGAAGCCUGCGGUUCAAUUGGAGUCAACGCCGGA